GACGAACGCUGGCGGCGCGCCUAACACAUGCAAGUCGAACGAGCGAGAGAGAGCUUGCUUUCUCGAGCGAGUGGCGAACGGGUGAGUAAUGCGUGAGGAACCUGCCUCAAAGAGGGGGACAACAGUUGGAAACGACUGCUAAUACCGCAUAAGCCCACGGGUCGGCAUCGACCAGAGGGAAAAGGAGCAAUCCGCUUUGAGAUGGCCUCGCGUCCGAUUAGCUAGUUGGUGAGGUAAUGGCCCACCAAGGCGACGGUCGGUAGCCGGACUGAGAGGUUGAACGGCCACAUUGGGACUGAGACACGGCCCAGACUCCUAUGGGAGGCAGCAGUGGGGAAUAUUGCACAAUGGGGGAAACCCUGAUGCAGCGACGCCGCGUGGAGGAAGAAGGUCUUCGGAUUGUAAACUCCUGUUGUUGGGGAAGAUAAUGACGGUACCC
rnacentral:rRNA from 1 species